UCAGCUAUGUCGUGUGUGUCGUUAUUGCCUAAGAGUUAAACAAAUUUAUAAGAACGAGUGCGAUUUGAAAUUUUCAUUUAAAAUAUGUCAAAAAAUGUGUAUGUUUAUUAAAAUUUAAAAGAUUGUGUUAUUGCAUCGAUUUAGUACUACAAAAUGUAUUGAGUUGUGUUUUAAAAGGAUACCAUGAUAUUGUUGAAAUAAUUUAAGAACAUUAAGACCAACUAAAAUGCCACCAUCGAGGGACUCUAUGGCAUACACCAAAGGUUUGCUCAACGAACCUGGCCAGAACAAUUGUUUUUUGAACAGCGCUGUACAAAUGAAAUGAAAAUCAAAGGUUGUAUGUAGCAGUGAUCGAUUUAAAUUGAACUUACAGUAGACGUUUAGACAUAUAUUCAGUGAAGUGAAACAUUAGGAAUCUGGUGUAUAAGAACGCGUGAUGGAAUGGCAUGGUCAUCGAGGUUAAUCUUCUGCUAGAUUAGGAUGCGUCUAAAGUACGUGAUA